GAUGAACGCUGGCGGCGUGCCUAAUACAUGCAAGUCGAGCGAACGGACGAGAAGCUUGCUUCUCUGAUGUUAGCGGCGGACGGGUGAGUAACACGUGGAUAACCUACCUAUAAGACUGGGAUAACUUCGGGAAACCGGAGCUAAUACCGGAUAAUAUUUUGAACCGCAUGGUUCAAAAGUGAAAGACGGUCUUGCUGUCACUUAUAGAUUGAUCCGCGCUGCAUUAGCUAGUUGGUAAGGUAACGGCUUACCAAGGCAACGAUGCAUAGACGACCUGAGAGGGUGAUCGGCCACACUGGAACUGAGACACGGUACAGACUCCUACGGGAGGCAGCAGUAGGGAAUCUUCCGCAAUGGGCGAAAGCAUGACGGAGCAACGCCGCGUGAGUGAUGAAGGUCUUCGGAUCGUAAAACUCUGUUAUUAGGGAAGAACAUAUGUGUAAGUAACUGUGCACAGCGUGACGGUACCUAAUCAGAAAGCCACGGCUAACUACGUG
rnacentral:rRNA from 1 species